rnacentral:lncRNA from 1 species
AUUGUUUUCCUCUAACCGUUGCUAUUUGAAUAUUCCAUGCAGAAACAACCAAAUGACAUCCAAGGAACUUCUUGUAUAGGGAUAUUCCAUCCAUAGCAUUUUGUCUGCAUUUCAGUAAGUUAGUUACAGUUUGAAGAUGGUUUUAAUAAUAUUGAUGGGUUUUAAUAACAUUUUCCUUAGGCUUGCUUCUUUAAUAGGAAGUGGUUUCCCCUAGUCACCGGAGGCAUUUAAGGAGAAAGUUUGCCUUGGCGAUUUUAGGGAAUGACCCUUUUACAGUUUAUCUUAAAUAAUGUAUAUUUCACCCAUUUUCUAAUCCAGGAUUUAGCCGUCAUAGAUGAUCUAACAGUGUAAUUACGUUCUAGGAAUUUCACAGUUAACUCUAACACACAUGUACACAUAGAACUUUGCAUUUGGAUUUAAUAUGUUCAAGACUCCAUUGUUGCCAGAUUUCCUAUCUCAAGCCUAUCAAUUCAUUUGAAUAAUAAGCCAAAUCAUCAGUCUCCUUUCAGGAUCUAAACUGGAUUUAAAAGAUUGACGUUUCUUAAAACUCAAAUUGAGUCGGGCUGCAACUGCAUGCCCAGAGGGACCUGAAUCAUACACUGGAUAAUGAAAUACACUUAGAUUUUGUUAGUGGAUAAUUUAUGCUCAGAAUCUUGAAACACUAAUAGAAUUAAACAACUGGGAGAGGGAACCAAAUAAGUCAGGAGAUAAAAUUAUUUAGCUUAACUUAGAAUGGAAGUAAGACACUACAUAUGAAAUCAUUCAACUUGCCUAUUAACUUGUUAAAAGAGAAGAAAUAGAGAAACAAAAACUAGGAAAGGUAAGGAAGAAGGGCAAGAAUCUUUUAGCAGUAAUAUCAAUGUAAUAAGUAGA